UACGUAGGGUGCGAGCGUUGUCCGGAUUCAUUGGGCGUAAAGAGCUCGUAGGCGGCUGUUCAAGUCGAACGUGAAAACUCGGAGCUCAACUCCGAGCCUGCGUUCGAUACUGGACGGCUAGAGUCUGGUAGGGGGAUCUGGAAUUCCUGGUGUAGCGGUGGAAUGCGCAGAUAUCAGGAGGAACACCUGUGGCGAAGGCGGCCCUCUGGACGGAUACUGACGCUGAGACGCGAAAGCGUGGGGAGCAAACAGG
rnacentral:rRNA from 1 species